ACCCACCGUGGCUCAGUUGGUUGGAGCGUGGGGCUGAGAACACCAAGGUCGCAGGUUUGAACCCCAUACGGGGGAG